UACGGGGGGGGCAAGCGUUGUUCGGAAUUACUAGGCGUAAAGGGCUCGUAGGCGGCCAACUAAGUCAGACGUGAAAUCCCUCGGCUUAACCGGGGAACUGCAUCUGAUACUGGAUGGCUUGAGAUUGGGAGAGGGAUGCGGAAUUCCAGGUGUAGCGGUGAAAUGCGUAGAUAUCUGGAGGAACACCGGUGGCGAAGGCGGCAUCCUGGACCAACACUGACGCUGAGGAGCGAAAGCCAGGGGAGCAAACGGG
rnacentral:rRNA from 1 species